CAGCAUUUUUAUUAACCUCAUUUUACAGGAGAGGGAAUGAAGGUCAAAUCAAUUGUCUGGAUUCAUGCCCUGAGUAAUGAUGUAACCUGGCUCAGCACUUAUCCCCUUAACCAGAACGCUGGGCAGGAGGAAGAAGAGCUUGUCUGGGAAAGGGUUUGGAGGGGAUUGUUGAGAAGGAAAGUUAAUGGAGAAGCUCCCAGCAUGUUGGCAAGAGAGGAUUGCAUCUCUCUUUUUAUCUGCUGCUCUCAGUGAGGCUCCAACACCAGUGAUGCAGUCAUCUCACUGAAGUUGGUUUUCUCCAGGAGAAGCUGAGCCAAAUGGAAUCCACCAAGCCCAGCCGCAGCCGGAAGCCCUACUCCUCCCUUACCUUGCCCAGCCUCAAAAAUACAGAAUCUGGAUCCCCCGGACUGACUCCUUCUUCCUUCUCCUCCUCCUCCUCUUUCUCUCUCUCUCUCUAUAAAUAUAAAUAUAUAUAUGUAUAGAUAUACUACAUCCAUAUAUAUAUAUAUAUAUUUUGAGACAGGUUCUGGCUCUGUCACCCAGGCUGGAGUGCAGUGGUGUGAUCUCAGCUCACUGAACCACCGCCUCCUAGGCUCAAGCCAUCCUCCCACCU
rnacentral:lncRNA from 1 species